rnacentral:rRNA from 6 species
AAAUUGAAGAGUUUGAUCAUGGCUCAGAUUGAACGCUGGCGGCAGGCCUAACACAUGCAAGUCGAACGGUAACAGGAAGCAGCUUGCUGCUUUGCUGACGAGUGGCGGACGGGUGAGUAAUGUCUGGG